rnacentral:rRNA from 1 species
AUAUCAAUAAGCGGAGGAAAAGAAACUAACAAGGAUUCCCCUAGUAACGGCGAGUGAAACGGGAAUAGCCCAACUUGAAAAUCUCCCUUUGGAGAAUUGUAGUCUAUAGAAGCGCCCUCUGUAGCGGGCGGAGCCUAAGUCUGCUGGAAGGCAGCGUCAGAGAGGGUGAGAACCCCGUCGGCUCCUGCUUUGCUGCCCCACGAGGUGCUUUCAACGAGUCGGGUUGUUUGGGAAUGCAGCCCUAAAUUGGAGGUAAAUCCCUUCUAAGGCUAAAUAUUGGCGAGAGACCGAUAGCGCACAAGUA